rnacentral:rRNA from 1 species
GAUCAGCUCGGUACUCCNAAUGCAUCUAGAUAACUCCUUAGAGUUUGAUCCUCGUGCUCACGGUCUGGAACAACCUCCUUAGAGUUUGAUCAUGGCUCAGAUUGAACGCUGGCGGCAGGCCUAACACAUGCAAGUCGAGCGGUAGCACAGGAGAGCUUGCUCUCCGGGUGACGAGCGGCGGACGGGUGAGUAAUGUCUGGGAAACUGCCUGAUGGAGGGGGAUAACUACUGGAAACGGUAGCUAAUACCGCAUAACGUCUUCGGACCAAAGUGGGGGACCUUCGGGCCUCAUGCCAUCAGAUGUGCCCAGAUGGGAUUAGCUAGUAGGUGGGGUAAUGGCUCACCUAGGCGACGAUCCCUAGCUGGUCUGAGAGGAUGACCAGCCACACUGGAACUGAGACACGGUCCAGACUCCUACGGGAGGCAGCAGUGGGGAAUAUUGCACAAUGGGCGCAAGCCCGAUGCAGCCAUGCCGCGUGUAUGAAGAAGGCCUUCGGGUUGUAAAGUACUUUCAGCGAGCAGGAAGGCGUUAAGGUUAAUAACCUUAGCGAUUGACGUUAACUUCGCAGAAGAAGCACCGGGCUUGGACUCCGGUGCCAGCAGCCGCGGGUAAUACCCGANAGGGUGCCACGCGUUUAUUCCGGAAAUUACCUGGGGCGGUAAAGCGGCNUGCAGGCGGGUCNUGUUCAAUUCCGGAUUUGGGAAAUCCCCCCGCGGGGGUUCAACCUGGGGGGGAGCGUGCGUUUUCCGUCAACUUUNGGGCGCCGGGGUUGAAAGCUUUUUUUUCGACGGCGGGGGGGGGGACNAACCCUGGGUGUUGGGGGGAAAUGCGUUUAAGUACUUUGGGANUAUGUCACCNCGUCUGCCGUCNUGCUGUGUGCCCCNUUUCUAUUGAAGUUCGCUCCGNGNUCGAGUGUUGUUUGGCGNUUGUGGUUUAUCUNCUUUGUAUUCUGUUUCUUAU